GAUGAAGAACGUAGCGAAAUGCGAUACUCGGUGUGAAUUGCAGAAUCCCGUGAACCAUCGAGUCUUUGAACGCAAGUUGCGCCCGAAGCCAUUAGGCCGAGGGCACGCCUGCCUGGGCGUCACACGUCGUUGCCCCCCCAUCUACUCCUUCGGGAUUGCGGGGGGCGGAUGAUGGCCUCCCGUGCGCCUCGUCGCGCGGUUGGCAUAAAUACCAAGUCCUCGGCGACGCACGCCACGACAAUCGGUGGUUGCGAAACCUCGGUUGCCCGUCGUGUGCGGUCGUCGCGCAUCGAGGGCUCGAAAAAAUUGCCGGGCUCCGGCUCGGCUUUCAACGCGACCCCAGGUCAGGCGGGGUUACCCGCUGAAUUUAAGCAUAUCAAUAAGCGGAGGA
rnacentral:misc_RNA from 1 species